GGAGUUAGCCGGUGCUUCUUCUGUGAGUGAUGUCCUUCCUGCCGGUUAUUGACCCGCAGGCCUUCUUCCUCACUGAAAGUGCUUUACAACCCGAAGGCCUUCUUCACACACGCGGCAUGGCUGGAUCAGGGUUGCCCCCAUUGUCCAAUAUUCCCCACUGCUGCCUCCCGUAGGAGUCUGGGCCGUGUCUCAGUCCCAGUGUGGCUGAUCAUCCUCUCAGACCAGCUACGGAUCGUCGCCUUGGUGAGCCGUUACCUCACCAACCAGCUAAUCCGACAUAGGCUCAUCCGAUAGCGCGAGGCCCGAAGGUCCCCCGCUUUCCCCCGUAGGGCGUAUGCGGUAUUAGCCUGGGUUUCCCCAGGUUAUCCCCCACUACCGGGCAGAUUCCUAUGCAUUACUCACCCGUCCGCCGCUCGCCACCAGGGAGCAAGCUACCCGUGCUGCCGCUCGACUUGCAUGUGUUAGGCCUGCCGCCAGCGUUCAAUCUGAGCCAGNGUACACAACUCGUACGUACGUAGACGGCGGUCGUCGGACGACGGCGACUAG
rnacentral:rRNA from 1 species